rnacentral:rRNA from 1 species
UUCCGGUUGAUCCUGCCGGAGGUUACUGCUAUCGAGGUUCGACUAAGCCAUGCGAGUCGAAUGUAGCAAUACAUGGCGUACUGCUCAGUAACACGUGGAUAACCUACCCUUGAGAUGGGAAUAAACCCGGGAAACUGGGUAUAAUACCCGAUAGAUCUCGACUGCUGGAAUGCAUCGAGAUCCAAAGCUCCGGCGCUCAAGGAUGGAUCUGCGGCCUAUCAGGUAGUAGUGGGUGUAGUGUACCUACUAGCCUACGACGGGUACGGGUUGUGAGAGCAAGAGCCCGGAGAUGGAUUCUGAGACACGAAUCCAGGCCCUACGGGGUGCAGCAGGCGCGAAAACUUUACAAUGCUGGAAACAGCGAUAAGGGGACCUCGAGUGCCAGGUUACAAAUCUGGCUGUCGUGAUGCCUAAAAAGCAUUGCAUAGCAAGGGCCGGGCAAGACCGGUGCCAGCCGCCGCGGUAACACCGGCGGCUCGAGUGGUAACCGCUAUUAUUGGGUCUAAAGGGUCUGUAGCUGGCCGGAUAAGUCUCUUGGGAAAUCUGGCAGCUUAACUGUCAGGCUUUCAGGAGAUACUGUCUGGCUCGAGGCCGGGAGAGGUGAGAGGUACUUCAGGGGUAGGGGUGAAAUCUUGUAAUCCUUGAAGGACCACCAGUGGCGAAGGCGUCUCACCAGAACGGACCUGACGGCAAGGGACGAAAGCUAGGGGCACGAACCGGAUUAGAUACCCGGGUAGUCCUAGCCGUAAACGAUACUUGCUAGGUGUCGGCAACGGUGCGACCGUUGUCGGUGCCGUAGGGAAGCCGUGAAGCGAGCCACCUGGGAAGUACGGCCGCAAGGCUGAAACUUAAAGGAAUUGGCGGGGGAGCACCACAACGGGUGGAGCUUGCGGUUUAAUUGGAUCAACGCCGG